CCUACGGGUGGCAGCAGUCGAGAAUCAUUCACAAUGGGGGAAACCCUGAUGGUGCGACGCCGCGUGGGGGAAUGAAGGUCUUCGGAUUGUAAACCCCUGUCAUGUGGGAGCAAAUGAAAAAGAUAGUACCACAAGAGGAAGAGACGGCUAACUCUGUGCCAGCAGCCGCGGUACUACAGAGGUCUCAAGCGUUGUUCGGAAGCACUGGGCGUAAAGCGUGCGUAGGCUGUUUCGUAAGUCGUGUGUGAAAGGCGCGGGCUCAACCCGCGGACGGCACAUGAUACUGCGAGACUAGAGUAAUGGAGGGGGAAGCGGAAUUGUCGGUGUAGCAGUGAAAUGCGUAGAUAUCGAGAGGAACACUCGUGGCGAAGGCGGGUUCCUGGACAUUAACUGACGCUGAGGCACGAAGGCGAGGGGAGCGAAAGGGAUUAGAUACCCGUGUAGUC
rnacentral:rRNA from 1 species